GCCUGGAUAGCUCACUAGGCUAGAGCUUGGCGCUGAUAACUCCAAAGUUGCAGGUUCAAUCCCUGUCCGGGACA